rnacentral:rRNA from 1 species
GAUGAACGCUGGCGGCGUGCUUAACACAUGCAAGUCGAACGAUGAACCGGUGCUUGCACUGGGGAUUAGUGGCGAACGGGUGAGUAACACGUGAGUAACCUGCCCUUGACUCUGGGAUAAGCCUGGGAAACUGGGUCUAAUACCGGAUAUGACCUUCCAUCGCAUGGUGGUUGGUGGAAAGCUUUUGUGGUUUUGGAUGGACUCGCGGCCUAUCAGCUUGUUGGUGGGGUAAUGGCCUACCAAGGCGACGACGGGUAGCCGGCCUGAGAGGGUGACCGGCCACACUGGGACUGAGACACGGCCCAGACUCCUACGGGAGGCAGCAGUGGGGAAUAUUGCACAAUGGGCGCAAGCCUGAUGCAGCGACGCCGCGUGAGGGAUGACGGCCUUCGGGUUGUAAACCUCUUUCAGUAGGGAAGAAGCGAGAGUGACGGUACCUGCAGAAGAAGCGCCGGCUAACUACGUGCCAGCAGCCGCAGUAACAC